rnacentral:lncRNA from 1 species
GGACAGUGGACACACCUGAAGUUUCCAAGGGGUGACAACUGAGUAGGGUAAUGGAUGCACAGCUAGUUAAAUCUUUUAUUUAACUAUUUUUUGUAGAGUGCUUGUCUUAUUCCCUUAUUCCUUGCCCUCCUGGCCUGGAUGCCAACCUCCAGGAAGAGUGCUGGCAGGUUGGCAUCCCCAGGUGAGUGCCCAGUGAGCAUCUGCAAGGAAGAGCACCAUAGAACAGAGGCAACAUCAGGGAUGUGUAAACUGAGCUGCAGGGCAGAAGGAGGAGGAAACUGUCGGAGAAAGAAAGGGCUGGGAGGCUGGAGAUGUGGCUCAAGUGGUAGCGUGCUUACCUGGCAUGCAUGAGGCACUGGGUUCGAUCCUUGGCACCACAUAAAAAUAAAGUAAUAAAAAAUUGUCCUAUAAAUGUGAAAUAAAGAAAGAAAGAAAAAGAAACGGCUGGGACUGUAGCUCAGUAGUGGGAGUACUUGCCUUGUAUGCAGAGGGCCUUGGGUUCAUUUCCCAUUCCUGGAAAAAGUUUUAUUUUCAAGGGAGAGGAGGUUGACUAAAUGGCCACUUCGUGUAAGCUGCUAAGCAAUAAGCAAUGUUGGAAAAUCCUGGUAGUGCUGUGCAUUUGCUCCCCUCCCCACCGCAAAAAAAAAGGGGAUACUACAUUCACAAUAAAACCCUGGUGGCUGGGCAUGGUGAUGCACAUCUGUAAUCCCAGAAACUCCAGAGGCUGAGGCAGGAGAAUUGCAAGUCCAGCCUCAGUAAUUUAGCAAGAUUCUGUCUCAGAAAACCCUAGUGUUACUUUAUGUGUAAAUAUGCCACCAUCCCAGAUUUUAAAGAAUAUUCUUCAAAAGCAUGGGAAAUACUUUUGGUGUUGUAGCAUAUCAAUUUUCUUUGAUGUCUUUGAGGAAGAUAUCUUCUCCA